UACGAAGGGGGCUAGCGUUGCUCGGAAUCACUGGGCGUAAAGGGUGCGUAGGCGGGUCUUUCAGUCAGGGGUGAAAUCCCGGGGCUCAACCCCGGAACUGCCCUUGAAACUGGAGAGCUAGAAUCUUGGAGAGGCGAGUGGAACUGCGAGUGUAGAGGUGAAAUUCGUAGAUAUUCGCAAGAACACCAGUGGCGAAGGCGGCUCACUGGCCCGAUACUGACGCUGAGGCACGAAAGCGUGGGGAGCAAACAGG
rnacentral:rRNA from 1 species